rnacentral:rRNA from 1 species
UAGUCAUAUGCUUGUCUCAAAGACUAAGCCAUGCAUAUGCAAGUAUAAGCACGAGAGACUGCGAAACUGUGAAUGGCUCAUUAAAUCAGUUAUAGUUUAUUUGAUAGUACAUGAGGUAGAUGGAUAACCGUGGUAAUUCUAGAGCUAAUACAUGCAAGGAGACCCGACUGGCGACGGGAGGGCAGUAUUUAUUAGAGAGCAAACCAAACGGGCGUUCCCUUCGCGGGGGGCGGCUGGAGUUGGGUGAGUCAUGAUAACACGGGGGAAUCGCAGGGGCCCCUUGAGGGCGGCGAUGGAUCAUUCAAAUUUCCGCCCUAUCAACUUUCGAUGGUAAGGUAGUGGCUUACCAUGGUUGCAACGGGUAACGGAGAAUUAGGGUUCGAUUCCGGAGAGGGAGCCUGAGAAAUGGCUACCACAUCCAAGGAAGGCAGCAGGCGCGCAAAUUACCCAAUCCUGACAUAGGGAGGUAGUGACAAUAAAUAACAAUGCUGGGCCCGUUUGGGUCUGGCAAUUGGAAUGAGAACAAAACAAAACUCUUAGCGAGGAACAAUU